rnacentral:rRNA from 1 species
UACAGAGACUGCAAGCGUUAUUCGGAUUCACUGGGCGUAAAGGGUGCGCAGGCGGCCAAGUGUGUUAGGCGUGAAAGCCCGAGGCUUAACCUCGGAAUUGCACCUAAAACUACAUGGCUAGAGUACUGGAGAGGGUAACGGAAUUCACGGUGUAGCAGUGAAAUGCGUAGAUAUCGUGAGGAACACCAGAGGCGAAGGCGGCUACCUGGACCAGCACUGACACUGAGGCACGAAAGCGUGGGGAGCAAACAGG